ACUAAGUUGCGUGAGGGAUAGCAGUGGAAAUCCUUUUUUAUAAUGUAGCGCUAGCAAAAUUAUAAAAAAGAUUGAAACGCAUAGCCCGACCCUUG
rnacentral:sRNA from 1 species